ACUUUUUAGCUCAGGGCCUGGUGGCUAGGUUGGUUUUCUCCUUUCCAGUCGGAGACCUCUGCCGCAAACAUGCUCUGCCAGAUCCUCGGUCAGGCCAAGAAGCAUCCGAGCUUGAUCCCCCUCUUUGUAUUUAUUGGAACUGGAGCUUCUGGAGCAACACUGUAUCUGUUGCGUCUGGCAUUGUUCAAUCCAGAUGUUUGUUGGGACAGAAAUAACCCAGAGCCUUGGAACAAACUUGGUCCUAAUGAUCAAUACAAGUUCUACUCAGUGAAUGUGGAUUAGAGCAAGCUGAAGAAGGAACGUCCAGAUUUCUAAAUGAAAUGUUUCACUAUAACGCUGCUUUAGAAUGAAGGUCUUCCAGAAGCCACAUCCACACAAUUUUCCACUUAACCAGGAAAUAUUUCUCCUCUAAAUGCAUGAAAUCAUGUUGGAGAUCUCUAUUGUAAUCUCUACUGGAGAUUACACUGAUUAAAUCAAUAAAUUACUGAAACUUGAAAAAAAA